UUAUUGAGAAUGUAAAUUUAAUUUCUUAGUAUUAUAAGUUAUGAUCUUUAAAUUGAAAGAAUUUGACGGUAAUUUAAUCAUUUUAGAGGAACCUGUUCUAUAAUCGAUAAUCCACGAUACAUUUUACCUUUAACAUAAUAUCAUGGUUUGUAUAUCUCUGUCUGAAUUGAAUGUUUUAUUAGGAUAUUUUCAAAAAUUUUUAAUUGAAAAUUAUGUCAGGUCAAGGUGCAGCUAUAUAAAGGAUUGAAAUGGGUUACAUUUAAUAUAAAAUUAUUGGAUUAAUCCAUUAUUAAUGGAUUAUGAAAUUGGAUUUAAUUGUAAUGUUUAAUAUAUAUUAUUCAUGAUAUAUGUUCUUGAUUAAGUACACAUCGCCCGUCACUCUCAUUAAUAAGAUGAGAUAAGUCGUAACAAAGUAGUCCUAUCGGAAGAUGGGGCUAGAAUUAUACAAGCUAUAAUCUAGGAUUAUUCUUUAUUUACAUUAAGGAAUUAUUUGUGCAAUUCAAAUUAGUUUGAUUUAUUUAUAUUUAAUUGUUGAUUUUAUUUUUAAUUUGUUAAUAGAAAUAACUUUUAUUGUUUUAGUAUUUUUUAGAGAAUAAAUUAAUUAUUUAUUUAUAGUUAAUAAUUACUGUAAAGGAUAAUAUUAAAGGAUGUAUAAGUAGAAUUAAUUUUUUGUACCUUUUGUAUCAGGGUUUAUUUAUAUUUUAUAUUUAUUAAUAUUAUUCCCGAAAUUAAAAGAGCUAUUGAUUAUUUGAUUUUUAAUGUUACAAAAUUAUAUUGAAAAUAUCAAUAGAUGUGAUAUGCUGUUCAUUUUUAUAUAUCUGGUUUUUUAAUAAUUGAGUUUAAUUCAGGAUUAUCUAAUUCCAAUAGAUCAAUUUAUUUUUUUUGUAUAUUGAUAAUCUAAAUCUUAAAGGGAUAAGCUUUUAAGAUACAUCUAUAAUUAUUUUAAUAAUAUAAAAUUAGUAGGAUUAAAAAUUUUCAUCAUUAUAUUUUGUUAUAAUUAAAUUUAUUAUUUAUUUUAUUUUGUUUUAGUUUAGAUCUUUAUUAAAUUUUAGUUAUGAAUAUUUUAUAAUUAGUAAUAAUGAUAAGAUUAGUAAAUUUGAAAUUUAAUAUAUAGUAAUUCGGCAAAUAUAUUCUUCACCUGUUUAACAAAAACAUGUCUUAAUGUUAAAUUAUAUUAGGUUUGGCCUGCUCAAUGAUUUUUUUAAAUAGCCGCAGUAUUUUGACUGUGCGAAGGUAGCAUAAUCACUUGUCUUUUAAUUGAAGGCUGGAAUGAAUGGUCGGAUGAGGGAAUAGCUUUCUUUAUAUUAAUGAAUUGAAUUUAAUUUUUAGGUAAAAAAGCUUAAAUUUUAAAGGGGGACGAGAAGACCCUAUAGAAUUUUAUUUUCAAUUAAUUAUAAAUUUAUUUUGUUAAUUAAAAUCUUAUUUUUAUUGGAAAUUUUGUUGGGGUGACAUUGAGAUUCUUUUAACUCUCAUAUUUUAUUAUUUAUUUAUAUGUAUAUAUAUAUAAUCCUUUAUUAUGGAAUUUAGAUUAAAUUACCUUAGGGAUAACAGCGUAAUUCUUUUGGAGAGUUCUUAUCGAUGGAAGAGU
rnacentral:rRNA from 1 species